rnacentral:rRNA from 1 species
GGUCCAGACUCCUACGGGAGGCAGCAGUGAGGAAUAUUGGUCAAUGGGCGAGAGCCGGAACCAGCCAAGUCGCGUGAGGGAGUACUGCCCUAUGGGUUGUAAACCUCUUUUGUCGGGGAGCAAAAGCCGGACGUGUCCGUCUGUGAGAGUACCCGAAGAAAAAGCAUCGGCUAACUCCGUGCCAGCAGCCGCGGUAAUACGGAGGAUGCGAGCGUUAUCCGGAUUUAUUGGGUUUAAGGGUGCGCAGGCGGAUUUUUAAGUCAGCGGUCAAAUCGUGGGGCUCAACCCCAUCCAGCCGUUGAAACUGGGGAUCUAGAGUGUGCGAGAGGUAUGCGGAAUGCGUGGUGUAGCGGUGAAAUGCAUAGAUAUCGCGCAGAACUCCGAUUGCGAAGGCAGCAUGCCGGCUCCACACUGACGCUGAGGCACGAAAGCGUGGGUAUCGAACAGGAUUAGAUACCCGCGUACAA